rnacentral:rRNA from 1 species
AGAAUCAACGCUGGCGGCGUGCCUAACACAUGCAAGUCGCACGAGAAAGUAGACUUCGGUCUGCGAGUAAAGUGGCGCACGGGUGAGUAACACGUGAAUAAUCUACCUCCGAGUGGGGAAUAACUUCGGGAAACCGAGGCUAAGUACCGCAUAACACUUACGAGUCAAAGCAGCAAUGCGCUUGGAGAGGAGUUCGCGGCAGAUUAGUUAGUUGGCGGGGUAAUGGCCCACCAAGACGAUGAUCUGUA